AGAUAUUCUCUGGCAAUUCUCAUUAGUACACAAAUCUACGUGUAACAGAAAAUGCGUUUUAAUCUAGCCAGAAUAAUGAAGCCUGCCAUGUAAGACGGUGAUGAGGAAAAUUUGAUAUUACCUAGUGUAAAGAUCCAUAUGAGAACAAAUUCUGGACGUAAGGUAAGUCAUAUCGGUUUUAUCCAUACAUAAGUCCGAGGAAAACCAUAACGGAUAAUUGACAUUUAAAAACAUGAUGAUAAUGAUGUAAGCAAAAUAUAUAAAACAGGUACUUUC
rnacentral:lncRNA from 1 species